CUUGUACUCCCUCCGUCCGAAAAUACUUGUCAUUGAAAUGGAUGUAUCUCGAUGUAUUUUAGUUCUAGACACAUCCAUUUUGAUGACAAGUAAUUCCGGGCGGAGGGAGUACUUG
rfam:Triticum aestivum genome assembly, contig: Triticum_aestivum_CS42_TGACv1_scaffold_223370_3B